CAGUUACGGUUCAUUGGAUAUUGAUUUUUUACAUGGAUAACUGUGGUAAAUCUAGAGCUAAUACGUGCACAAAAGCUUUAACCUUUAUGGAAAAAGCGCAUUUAUUAGACCAAGACCAAUGGUCAUUUUUACCCAAAAAUGACCUUUUUACUUGGUGACUCUGAAUAACUGAGCUAAUCGCAUGGCCUAUGCGCCGGCGAUAUAUCCUUCAAGCGUCUGCCUUAUCAACUGUA
rnacentral:rRNA from 1 species